rnacentral:rRNA from 1 species
UGGGUAACCUGCCUCAAAGAGGGGAAUAGCCUCCCGAAAGGGAGAUUAAUACCGCAUAAUAUGUUUAAGUCGCAUGACUUUAACAUCAAAAGGAUUUUUCUUUUAAGAAAUUCCACUUUGAGAUGGACCCGCGGCGCAUUAGCUAGUUGGUGAGGUAACGGCUCACCAAGGCAACGAUGCGUAGCCGACCUGAGAGUGUGAUCGGCCACAUUGGAACUGAGACACGGUCCAGACCU